rnacentral:rRNA from 1 species
UACAGAGACUGCAAGCGUUAUUCGGAUUCACUGGGCGUAAAGGGUGCGCAGGCGGUCGGGUGUGUCAGAUGUGAAAUCCCGAGGCUCAACCUCGGAACUGCGUCUGAAACUACUCGACUAGAGUACUGGAGAGGGUAACGGAAUUCACGGUGUAGCAGUGAAAUGCGUAGAUAUCGUGAGGAACACCAGAGGCGAAGGCGAGUCCCUGGACAACUUCUGACGCUGAGGCACGAAAGCUAGGGGAGCAAACAGG